CCUACGGGUGGCAGCAGUCGAGAAUCAUUCACAAUGGGGGAAACCCUGAUGGUGCGACGCCGCGUGGGGGAAUGAAGGUCUUCGGAUUGUAAACCCCUGUCAUGUGGGAGCAAAUUAAAAAGAUAGUACCACAAGAGGAAGAGACGGCUAACUCUGUGCCAGCAGCCGCGGUAAUACAGAGGUCUCAAGCGUUGUUCGGAAUCACUGGGCGUAAGGCGUGCGUAGGCUGUUUAGUAAGUCGUGUGUGAAAGGCGCGGGCUCAACCCGCGGACGGCACAUGAUACUGCGAGACUAGAGUAAUGGAGGGGGAACCGGAAUUCUCGGUGUAGCAGUGAAAUGCGUAGAUAUCGAGAGGAACACUCGUGGCGAAGGCGGGUUCCUGGACAUUAACUGACGCUGAGGCACGAAGGCCAGGGGAGCGAAAGGGAUUAGAUACCCCAGUAGUC
rnacentral:rRNA from 1 species